GUGUCAGCAGCCGCGGUAAUACGGAGGAUGCAAGCGUUAUCCGGAAUGAUUGGGCGUAAAGCGUCCGCAGGUGGCACAUCAAGUCUGCUGUCAAAGCCCCCAGCUUAACUGGGAAGAGGCGGUGGAAACUGGUGAGCUAGAGAGCAAUAGGGGUAGAGGGAAUUCCCGGUGUAGCGGUGAAAUGCGUAGAGAUCGGGAAGAACACCAGUGGCGAAAGCGCUCUACUAGGUUGCAACUGACACUGAGGGACGAAAACUAGGGGAGCGAAUGGGAUUAGAUACCCCAGUAGUCCUAGCCGUAAACGAUGGAUACUAGGCGUUUCUCGUAUCGACCCGAGGAGUGCCGGAGCCAACGCGUUAAGUAUCCCGCCUGGGGAGUACGCACGCAAGUGUGAAACUUAAAUGAAUUGGCGGGG
rnacentral:rRNA from 1 species